UCCGGUUUGUCACCGGCAGUCUCGCAUGAGUCCCCAACUAAAUGCUGGCAACAUACGACGGGGGUUGCGCUCGUUGCGGGACUUAACCCAACAUCUCACGACACGAGCUGACGACAGCCAUGCACCACCUGUCACUCUGUCCCCCGAAGGGGAAAGCCCUAUCUCUAGGGUUGUCAGAGGAUGUCAAGACCUGGUAAGGUUCUUCGCGUUGCCCCGAAUUAAACCACAUGCUCCACCGCUUGUGCGGGCCCCCGUCAAUUCCUUUGAGUUUCAGCCUUGCGGCCGUACUCCCCAGGCGGGGCACUUAACGCGUUAACUUCGGCACAGAGGGAUUCGACUCCCCCCACACCCAGUAUCCAUCGUUUACGGCGUGGACUAC
rnacentral:misc_RNA from 1 species